rnacentral:rRNA from 1 species
GGAUGAGCCCGCGGCCUAUCAGCUUGUUGGUGAGGUAAUGGCUCACCAAGGCUUCGACGGGUAGCCGGCCUGAGAGGGUGACCGGCCACACUGGGACUGAGACACGGCCCAGACUCCUACGGGAGGCAGCAGUGGGGAAUAUUGGACAAUGGGCGGAAGCCUGAUCCAGCAACGCCGCGUGAGGGAUGACGGCCUUCGGGUUGUAAACCUCUUUCAGCACAGACGAAGCGCAAGUGACGGUAUGUGCAGAAGAAGGACCGGCCAACUACGUGCCACAGCCGCGGCCG